GGUUAAGCGACUAAGCGUACACGGUGGAUGCCCUGGCAGUCAGAGGCGAUGAAGGACGUGCUAAUCUGCGAAAAGCGUCGGUAAGGUGAUAUGAACCGUUAUAACCGGCGAUGUCCGAAUGGGGAAACCCAGUGUGAUUCGUCACACUAUCGUUAACUGAAUACAUAGGUUAACGAGGCGAACCGGGGGAACUGAAACAUCUAAGUACCCCGAGGAAAAGAAAUCAACCGAGAUUCCCCCAGUAGCGGCGAGCGAACGGGGAGCAGCCCAGAGUCUGAAUCAGCUUGUGUGUUAGUGGAACGGUCUGGAAAGUCCGACGGUACAGGGUGAUAGUCCCGUACACCAAAAUGCACAGGCUGUGAACUCGAAGAGUAGGGCGGGACACGUGGUAUCCUGUCUGAAUAUGGGGGGACCAUCCUCCAAGGCUAAAUACUCCUGACUGACCGAUAGUGAACCAGUACCGUGAGGGAAAGGCGAAAAGAACCCCGGCGAGGGGAGUGAAAAAGAACCUGAAACCGUGUACGUACAAGCAGUGGGAGCACCUUCGGGUGUGACUGCGUACCUUUUGUAUAAUGGGUCAGCGACUUAUAUUCUGUAGCAAGGUUAACCGUAUAGGGGAGCCGCAGGGAAACCGAGUCUUAACUGGGCGUUAAGUUGCAGGGUAUAGACCCGAAACCCGGUGAUCUAGCCAUGGGCAGGUUGAAGGUUGGGUAACACUAACUGGAGGACCGAACCGACUAAUGUUGAAAAAUUAGCGGAUGACUUGUGGCUGGGGGUGAAAGGCCAAUCAAACCGGGAGAUAGCUGGUUCUCCCCGAAAGCUAUUUAGGUAGCGCCUCGUGAAUUCAUCUUCGGGGGUAGAGCACUGUUUCGGCUAGGGGGUCAUCCCGACUUACCAACCCGAUGCAAACUACGAAUACCGAAGAAUGUUAUCACGGGAGACACACGGCGGGUGCUAACGUCCGUCGUGAAGAGGGAAACAACCCAGACCGCCAGCUAAGGUCCCAAAGUCAUGGUUAAGUGGGAAACGAUGUGGGAAGGCACAGACAGCCAGGAUGUUGGCUUAGAAGCAGCCAUCAUUUAAAGAAAGCGUAAUAGCUCACUGGUCGAGUCGGCCUGCGCGGAAGAUGUAACGGGGCUAAACCAUGCACCGAAGCUGCGGCAGCGACACUAUGUGUUGUUGGGUAGGGGAGCGUUCUGUAAGCCUGCGAAGGUGUGCUGUGAGGCAUGCUGGAGGUAUCAGAAGUGCGAAUGCUGACAUAAGUAACGAUAAAGCGGGUGAAAAGCCCGCUCGCCGGAAGACCAAGGGUUCCUGUCCAACGUUAAUCGGGGCAGGGUGAGUCGACCCCUAAGGCGAGGCCGAAAGGCGUAGUCGAUGGGAAACAGGUUAAUAUUCCUGUACUUGGUGUUACUGCGAAGGGGGGACGGAGAAGGCUAUGUUAGCCGGGCGACGGUUGUCCCGGUUUAAGCAUGUAGGCUGGUUGUCCAGGCAAAUCCGGAUAAUCAAGGCUGAGGUGUGAUGACGAGGCACUACGGUGCUGAAGUAACAAAUGCCCUGCUUCCAGGAAAAGCCUCUAAGCAUCAGGUAACAUUAAAUCGUACCCCAAACCGACACAGGUGGUCAGGUAGAGAAUACCAAGGCGCUUGAGAGAACUCGGGUGAAGGAACUAGGCAAAAUGGUGCCGUAACUUCGGGAGAAGGCACGCUGGUGUGUAGGUGAAGUCCCUGCGGAUGGAGCUGAGACCAGUCGAAGAUACCAGCUGGCUGCAACUGUUUAUUAAAAACACAGCACUGUGCAAACACGAAAGUGGACGUAUACGGUGUGACGCCUGCCCGGUGCCGGAAGGUUAAUUGAUGGGGUUAUCCGUAAGGAGAAGCUCUUGAUCGAAGCCCCGGUAAACGGCGGCCGUAACUAUAACGGUCCUAAGGUAGCGAAAUUCCUUGUCGGGUAAGUUCCGACCUGCACGAAUGGCGUAAUGAUGGCCAGGCUGUCUCCACCCGAGACUCAGUGAAAUUGAACUCGCUGUGAAGAUGCAGUGUACCCGCGGCAAGACGGAAAGACCCCGUGAACCUUUACUAUAGCUUGACACUGAACAUUGAGCCUUGAUGUGUAGGAUAGGUGGGAGGCUUUGAAGCGUGGACGCCAGUCUGCGUGGAGCCAACCUUGAAAUACCACCCUUUAAUGUUUGAUGUUCUAACGUUGGCCCCUGACCGGGGUUGCGGACAGUGUCUGGUGGGUAGUUUGACUGGGGCGGUCUCCUCCCAAAGCGUAACGGAGGAGCACGAAGGUUAGCUAAUCCUGGUCGGACAUCAGGAGGUUAGUGCAAUGGCAUAAGCUAGCUUGACUGCGAGCGUGACGGCGCGAGCAGGUGCGAAAGCAGGUCAUAGUGAUCCGGUGGUUCUGAAUGGAAGGGCCAUCGCUCAACGGAUAAAAGGUACUCCGGGGAUAACAGGCUGAUACCGCCCAAGAGUUCAUAUCGACGGCGGUGUUUGGCACCUCGAUGUCGGCUCAUCACAUCCUGGGGCUGAAGUAGGUCCCAAGGGUAUGGCUGUUCGCCAUUUAAAGUGGUACGCGAGCUGGGUUUAGAACGUCGUGAGACAGUUCGGUCCCUAUCUGCCGUGGGCGCUGGAGAAUUGAGGGGGGCUGCUCCUAGUACGAGAGGACCGGAGUGGACGCAUCACUGGUGUUCGGGUUGUCAUGCCAAUGGCACUGCCCGGUAGCUAAAUGCGGAAGAGAUAAGUGCUGAAAGCAUCUAAGCACGAAACUUGCCCCGAGAUGAGUUCUCCCUGAGACUUUAAGUCUCCUGAAGGAACGUUGAAGACGACGACGUUGAUAGGCCGGGUGUGUAAGCGCAGCGAUGCGUUGAGCUAACCGGUACUAAUGAACCGUGAGGCUUAACCUU
rnacentral:rRNA from 1 species